rnacentral:rRNA from 1 species
UACGAAGGGGGCUAGCGUUGUUCGGAAUUACUGGGCGUAAAGCGCGCGCAGGCGGUCUUCCAAGUCAGUGGUGAAAGCCCGGAGCUCAACUCCGGAACUGCCAUUGAAACUGUAAGACUUGAGGACGAGAGAGGCGAGUGGAAUUCCCGGUGUAGCGGUGAAAUGCGUAGAGAUCGGGAGGAACACCAGUGGCGAAGGCGGCUACCUGGACCAGCACUGACACUGAGGCACGAAAGCGUGGGGAGCAAACAGG